GAUGCUNNUGAAAGCGAUAGGCCUAACACAUGCAAGUCGAGGGGCAGCACAUGAGGUAGCAAUACCGAUGGUGGCGACCGGCGCACGGGUGAGUAACACGUAUGCAACCUGCCUCCAACAAGGGGAUAACCCGUUGAAAGACGGACUAAUACCCUAUAACACAGGGCUCCCGCAUGGGAAUAUUUGUUAAAGAUUAAUCGGUUGGAGAUGGGCAUGCGUUCCAUUAGCUAGUUGGCGGGGUAACGGCCCACCAAGGCAACGAUGGAUAGGGGAACUGAGAGGUUUAUCCCCCACACUGGUACUGAGACACGGACCAGACUCCUACGGGAGGCAGCAGUGAGGAAUAUUGGUCAAUGGGCGCAAGCCUGAACCAGCCACGUCGCGUGAAGGAAGACGGCCCUACGGGUUGUAAACUUCUUUUGCAAGGGAAUAAAGUGCCCCACGUGUGGGGUUUUGCAUGUACCUUGCGAAUAAGGAUCGGCUAACUCCGUGCCAGCAGCCGCGGUAAUACGGAGGAUCCGAGCGUUAUCCGGAUUUAUUGGGUUUAAAGGGUGCUCAGGCGGGAUGUUAAGUCGGCGGUGAAAUUUUGCGGCUCAACCGUUAA
rnacentral:rRNA from 1 species